rnacentral:lncRNA from 1 species
GGGGCAGAGCGGAGAGGAGCAGAGCGGCCCUCUGCCGGGCUCGGUGCGUAUGGAAUGGAGCGAGCGCCGGGGCUGAAGUCAGCGACGGGAAACCGAGCGACAAAAACAGAAGGUCUCGGCGGCGUGCGGUACAGGAAGGCGCCCAGAGCUCAGGAGCAGCCGCGCUCAGCGGGUCUCGCAGAGCGGAGCGCUUCACGGAACCGCUGCCAGAGAGAGAACCCUGCGCGGAGCCGCCCCCGGGGCUGCAGCGCCGGCAGCGGGCGUGGGGGAGGGCAGAGCCGGGCCUGGGGCUUCGGGCACGCUUCCAUGUCUGACGCCGUUUUGUCAGACCGCCCCUCGGCGCCGUCUGCCACACGGCAGCGCGUCCGGAACGUUGGUGGGAAGAUUCAGCCUCUGCUGCAGUCCCACCAACGUCCACCUCUGAUAUCGUGGGCCAACGUCAUAGAAUAAGAGGCGUUACUUUCAGAGCAGCCCUCGCAUUUUAGACUUCUAUCAAAGAUCAGUAGUUAAUGGUUGCUUUGCAGUUGCAGCAACACUCGUGCUACAAAAGACUAAACGCAGCCAUUAGCAGCCCAGCCCACCAGCAGCAGUACCACAGAUGAAACCUAAUCACUACAAGCACAAGAGUGGCAGAAAAUUCACCACCACACGUAUGUAUGUCCCUGGUGCCUGGCUGCUCGCUUGCAAGCACUUGCGAGAUGGGUGGAGGUCAGCAGGCUUCAAAAGCAGUUGAAAACAAAAAGACAGUUCCUUCUUAAAGGAGAUCCAAUAGCAGGCAGUGCUGGGACACGAUCGCGGACACCAUGGUGUGGUUCCAGCUUGCCAGAAUGAAGGUACAGCGGGCAGCACUCAGCAUCGAAAGCAUGCAAGAAGAAAGCCAGGAUAUCCCCUAACGGAGCUGCACAGCUGUGGUUAUUAUCCUGACACUGCAACAUAAGCAAAGCAAACAAAAGUAAUGCUUAAGUGACAAUGCAAGAAAGAAACUGGAGACUGGAUUCCUCACCAAAGCCACUGGAAGCUCUGACCAGCACAAGGCGAAGCCCACAAGCAGCCCUUCCAGGACAGCUAACCCAGACAUCAACUGCCAACCCAUAGCCCUCAAGUGAUUACAGCAGACAGGAAAGAAAACAAUGAAAAGCUCCUCUCAAAGCGCCAAGACGAAAACAAAAGUGAU